AUUGAACGCUGGCGGCAUGCCUAACACAUGCAAGUCGAACGAGUGGCGGACGGGUGAGCAAUGUCGUAGAAACUGCCUGAUGGAGGGGGAUAACUAGUGGAAACGAUAGCUAAUACCGCAUACCAUCAGAUGUGCCCAGAUGGCAUUAGCUUGUUGGUGGGGUAACGGCUCACCAAGGCGACGAUCCCUACCUGGUCUGAGAGGGUGACCAGCCACACUGGAACGGAGACACGGCCCAGACUCCUACGGGAGGCAGCAGUGGGGAAUAUUGCACAAUGGGCGCAAGCCUGAUGGAGCCAUGCCGCGUGUAGGAAGAAGGUCUUCGGGUUGUAAAGUACUUUCAGCAGGGAGGCGUUACCCGAAGAAGAAGCACCGGCUAACUCCGUGCCAGCAGCCGCGGUAAUAC
rnacentral:rRNA from 1 species